UGGGGAAUUUUGCACAAUGGGGGAAACCCUGAUGCAGCGACGCCGCGUGAUUUAGAAGGCCUUCGGGUUGUAAAAAUCUUUUGUAUGGGAAGAAAAUGACAGUACCAUACGAAUAAGGACCGGCUAAUUACGUGCCAGCAGCCGCGGUAAUACGUAAGGUCCGAGCGUUGUCCGGAAUCAUUGGGCGUAAAGGGUACGUAGGCGGAUAAGCAAGUUAGAAGUGAAAUCCUAUAGCUCAACUAUAGUAAGCUUUUAAAACUGCUCAUCUUGAGGUAUGGAAGGGAAAGUGGAAUUCCUAGUGUAGCGGUGAAAUGCGCAGAUAUUAGGAAGAAUACCGGUGGCGAAGGCGACUUUCUGGUCAUAAUCUGACGCUGAGGUACGAAAGCGUGGGUAGCAAACAGG
rnacentral:rRNA from 1 species